ACAAGAGAGAGAGAGAGAGAGAGAGAGAGAGAGAGAGAGAGAGAGAGAGAGAGAAUGAGGAGCAGGGAGUUCUGAGUCCAACCCACAUGCGCCCCAUCAUCAUUACAGCUCAGUGAAUGGGUUGCCAUAGCCCAUAGCAUUUGAUACAUCUCUCUCUCUCUCUCUCUCUCUCUCUCUCUCUCUCUCUCUCUCUCUCUCCCUUCUAUCUAUUUGUA
rnacentral:sRNA from 1 species